CUUCACCGAGCCCAGCCACAACGGCUGUUCCCCGGAACGCUCCUGGCCAUAUGUGUCGAGCAGGGCCUGGGCUUC
rnacentral:antisense_RNA from 18 species